UGCGGAAGGAUCAUUAGUGAAUAUAGGACGUCCAACUUAACUUGGAGUCCGAACUCUCACUUUCUAACCCUGUGCACUUGUUUGGGAUAGUAACUCUCGCAAGAGAGCGAACUCCUAUUCACUUACAAACACAAAGUCUAUGAGUGUAUUAAAUUUUAUAACAAAAUAAAACUUUCAACAACGGAUCUCUUGGCUCUCGCA
rnacentral:misc_RNA from 1 species